AUGUUGCAACGACAAAAGCAUCAUUCGGUCUGGUGGACUUCCUUCUUUCUUCAAGUCUGGUGGGUCAUUCAGUUCCGCUUUCAUCGCUACAGAGGAAUGGAAGUCGUGGUUGGACUGUUGUUUCUCCUUCUAGGAGUCGCUCAGGGUAUAGAAUCUUUUUGUGACUCAAGACACGAUAAUGCUCAGUGCUAUGGAGCUGAUGGUGGAACUGUGUUCAUACAGCUGAUGAACGACGCCUCACAGACAGACGUUAACUUUGAAUGGAGGAAGGAUAACGUGACAAUCCUCAAAGGGAGGAAUAAUAAAGUACUGUCUAAUGUAUUAGUAAACAGAUCUUCAUUUUUUUUCAAUAAUGGAACAUUUAUGAUUAAAAACCUGAGUAAAAGUGACAGUGGUGAAUAUAAACUCACACUGUUUAACUCAGAUGGAAAGAGAACAGAAACUCGGGCCACAUGGUUACAUCUUAACGAAAAGAAUCCUCUGUCCAUCCUGGCGGUUUUCCUGUCACUUUUGCUAAUCUUCUUGAUCACUGGAACAAUCGUCUUUUGUGUCUUGAAAAGAAAACAAAAACAAGUCACAGAUGAUCAGCACAUAAUCUAUGCUGACGUUCAGAUGAAGCAGCAGAAUCAGAAGAGAAAAAUCCCUGAAAAAUUAGAUGUGGAAGUGGAGUACAGUCAAGUGAAGUUUGCAGAGCGACCUCGUCAGAAUGAGCUCACAAAUCAUGAGGCGUAA
rnacentral:lncRNA from 1 species